rnacentral:rRNA from 1 species
CGCGAGUCAUUGGGUUGUCCUACAUGGGAACGAUGAAACCUAGAGGCGCAAUGAAAGUGAAGGUCGACCCUAGGUCGACCGAGGGAGGAUGGCUCGGGUUCGCCCUGGUCCGCACUCCCGGGGCGUCUCGCGGUCAUUAGAACCGGAGGCGCACCCAGAGCGUACACGUUGGGACCCGAAAGAUGGUGAAGUAUGCCUGGUCAGGACGAAGUCAGGGGAAACCCUGAUGGASGUCCGUAUCGAUUCUGACGUUCAAAUCGAUCGUCGGAACUGGGUAUAGGGGCGAAAGACUAAUCGAACCAUCUAGUAGCUGGUUCCCUCCGAAGUUUCCCUCAGGAUAGCUGGCACUCGCUCGAUAUUAUAAGCGUGCGAGUCUCAUCUGGUAAAGCGAAUGAUUAGAGGCCUUGGGGCCGAAACGACCUCAACCUAUUCUCAWWCUUUAAAUGGGUGAGAUCUCUGGCUUGCUUGAAAGUUGAAGCCAAGAGAUUACGGAUCAGAGUGCCAAGUGGGCCAAUUUUGGUAAGCAGAACUGGCGCUGUGGGAUGAACCAAACGCCGAGUUAAGGCGCCUAAGUCGACGCUUAUGGGAUACCAUGAAAGGCGUUGGUUGACUUAAGACAGCAGGACGGUGG